CGUAGUUUGAUCAUGGCUCAGGAUGAACGCUAGCGGCAGGCUUAAUACAUGACAAGUCGAAGGGGGUAGCAAUACAACCGGCGCACGGGUGAGUAACGCGUACACAACAUACCAUAUACUGGAGUAUAGCUUUGGGAAACUGAAGGUAAUCCUCCAUAACAUUGCGAGAGGGCAUCUGAUUGCAAUUAAAGUUUCGGCGGUAUAUGAUUGGUGUGCGUUUGAUUAGCUAGUUGGUAGGGUAACGGCCUACCAAGGCGACGAUCAAUAGCUGGCGUGAGAGCGCGACCAGCCACACUGGAACUGAGACACGGUCCAGACUCCUACGGGAGGCAGCAGUAGGGAAUAUUGGACAAUGGAGGAAACUCUGAUCCAGCCAUGCCGCGUGAUAGAUGAAGGCCCUCUGGGUUGUAAAUAUCUUUUAUCUGGGAAGAAACACUCCUAUUCUUAGGAACUUGACGGUACCAGAGGAAUAAGCACCGGCUAACUCCGUG
rnacentral:rRNA from 1 species